rnacentral:tmRNA from 1 species
AAACGUUUUUAGGCUACUGUCUUUGGGGAAGCGCCUCUUGACCGCACCCCUAAGGCAUAAACCUGUCGAGAUGCUGUCGUUUCUUUUGAUUUAGAGAAACUACAAAAGAAAAUUAAAUCUUACUUUAAGAAUUUUGUUACUUUAUCUACUUAAAGGAAAUUUCAAAGUAACUAAGCUUGUAGUAGUUUUUUAGAAUGUUAUUUCGGACGCGGGUUCGAUUCCCGCCGUCUCCACAA